rnacentral:tRNA from 1 species
GGUCAUCAUGGCUCAGUGGCAGAACACCUGCUUUGCAUUCAGAAGGUCCCAGGUUCAAUCCCUGGCAUGUCUG